UACGUAGGGUGCAAGCGUUGUCCGGAAUUAUUGGGCGUAAAGAGCUCGUAGGCGGUCUGUCGCGUCUGCUGUGAAAACUCGGGGCUUAACCCCGGGCCUGCAGUGGGUACGGGCAGACUAGAGUGCGGUAGGGGAGACUGGAAUUCCUGGUGUAGCGGUGAAAUGCGCAGAUAUCAGGAGGGACACCGGUGGCGAAGGCGGGUCUCUGGGCCGUAACUGACGCUGAGGAGCGAAAGCAUGGGGAGCGAACAGG
rnacentral:rRNA from 1 species